GACGAACGCUGGCGGCGUGCCUAAUACAUGCAAGUAGAACGCACAGUUUAUACCGUAGCUUGCUACACCAUAGACUGUGAGUUGCGAACGGGUGAGUAACGCGUAGGUAACCUGCCUGGUAGCGGGGGAUAACUAUUGGAAACUAUAGCUAAUACCGUAUAAUAUUGAUUAUUGCAUGAUAAUUAAUUGAAAGGUGCAAUUGCACCACUACCAGAUGGACCUGCGUUGUAUUAGCUAGUAGGUGAGGUAACGGCUCACCUAGGCGACGAUACAUAGCCGACCUGAGAGGGUGAUCGGCCACACUGGGACUGAGACACGGCCCAGACUCCUACGGGAGGCAGCCGUAGGGAAUCUUCGGCAAUGGACGCAAGUCUGACCGAGCAACGCCGCGUGAGUGAAGAAGGUUUUCGGAUCGUAAAGCUCUGUUGUAAGAGAAGAACGGGUGUGAGAGUGGAAAGUUCACACUGUGACGGUAUCUUACCAGAAAGGGACGGCUAACUACGUG
rnacentral:rRNA from 1 species